UGUCUUUGGCGUUGAUGUCGGCGCCGUUCUGCACAGAUGCACAGCGCCCCUCAAUGGCGAGAAAAGGAAAAAAAAAACACAAAAGAGAAGGAGACAAAAGGGCAGUCAUGAGAAAAGAUGUCUGCGACUUGGCAGGUCCAUAAAGAAAAGGUUGGUGUGGAAGAACAUGACUGGCCUGCACAGAGCCCUGACCUCAACCCAGUCCGGCACCUUUGGGAUGAAUUGGAACGCUGACUGCGAGCCAGACCUUAUCACCCAACAUCAGUGUUGGACCUCACCAAUGCUUUUGUGCACUGAAUGGCAGCAAAUCCCUGCAGCCGGGUUCAACAAUCACGUCCACUACGAUGGAGUGACCCUCUGAGGCGGCCAUGUGAAGAGGGGUCUUGUCCACCUUGGUUCGGGCGUCCCUGCUGACGCCGGCACGCAGCAGCACCUUGGCGGUGGAGUGAUG